UACGAGGGGGGCGAGCGUUGUUCGGAAUUAUUGGGCGUAAAGGGUGCGUAGGCGGUUCCGCAAGUCCUGUGUGAAAUCUUCGGGCUCAACUCGAAGUCUGCACGGGAAACUGCGGGGGCUUGAGUGUGGGGAGAGGUGAGUGGAAUUCCCGGUGUAGCGGUGAAAAUGCGUAGAUAUCAUCUGGAACGCCAAUGGUGCAGACAGGCUGCUGGGAAUGAACUGACGCUGAGGCACGAAAGCCAGGGAGCGAACGGG
rnacentral:rRNA from 1 species